rnacentral:rRNA from 1 species
UACGUAGGGUGCAAGCGUUAAUCGGAAUUACUGGGCGUAAAGCGUGCGCAGGCGGUGAUGUAAGACAGAUGUGAAAUCCCCGGGCUCAACCUGGGAACUGCAUUUGUGACUGCAUCGCUGGAGUGCGGCAGAGGGGGGUGGAAUUCCGCGUGUAGCAGUGAAAUGCGUAGAGAUGCGGAGGAACACCGAUGGCGAAGGCAGCCCCCUGGGCUGACACUGACGCUCAGGCACGAAAGCGUGGGGAGCAAACAGG